GAUGAACGCUGGCGGCGUGCCUAAUACAUGCAAGUCGAGCGAACAGACGAGGAGCUUGCUCCUCUGACGUUAGCGGCGGACGGGUGAGUAACACGUGGAUAACCUACCUAUAAGACUGGGAUAACUUCGGGAAACCGGAGCUAAUACCGGAUAAUAUAUUGAACCGCAUUGUUCAAUAGUGAAAUACGGUUUUGCUGUCACUUAUAGAUGGAUCCGCGCCGGAUUAGCUAGUUGGUAAGGUAACGGCUUACCAAGGCAACGAUGCGUAGCCGACCUGAGAGGGUGGUAGGCCACACUGGAACUGGAACACGGUCCAGGAGACUAAGGGAGGGACCAGUAGGCAAUGUUCCGCAAUGGGGGAAAACCUUGCGGAAGAACCGCGAGUGAGUGGUGAAAGUCCUCCGAGCGUAAAAACCUGUUUUUAGGGAAAAACCAAUUUGUAAGGUAACAAGCCCGGCUUGACGGUAACUAAUAAGAAAGCCACGGCUAACUACGUG
rnacentral:rRNA from 1 species